AACGGCCAUGCCAAGCUGAAUAUACCGGUUCUCGUUAGAUCACCGAAGUCAAGCAUCAUUGGGCGCGGUCAGUACUUGGGUGGGUGACCACCUGGGAACACCGCGUGCCGUU
rnacentral:rRNA from 1 species